rnacentral:misc_RNA from 1 species
GUCCCGUGACGCCGGCGGUGGCGGUGGCGGGGAAGACGGCGGUACUGCCCUGCAACAUCACCACCAAAACCGACGACUCCGUCCAUCUGGUCCUGUGGUACCGCGACCACGUGCCUACACCCAUCUACAGUUAUGACGUACGGUCGGGUGCGUACUCGAAACCAAAGGAGUGGGCGGAUCCUGAGUUGCUGGGAGAAAGAGCUCACUUCAGCAUGACCACGAACCCGGCAGCGCUCGUUCUUAAUCAAACCCGGAGAGCCGACCAAGCAGUUUAUCGCUGCAGGGUGGACUACAAGCGGCUCACCACCACCCAUGCCAGAGUCAACCUCACCGUUAUAGAGCCAGUUACCAGUGUGAGGAUCGUAGAUGAGAGUGGGCUGGAGCUAGUUGGUGCUGCCGGCCCCUACACAGUGGGAGAGCGACCCUCCCUCACCUGCCGGGUCCAGGGAGGCGACCCACUACCUGCUGUCACCUGGUGGAGAAGUGGCCGCCUCCUGGACAACACAUACCAUCAACAAGCUCCCCCUAGCUCGAGACAGGGGGGUGUGGUGGAGUCGGCACCCUUAGUUGUCAACACGAUACACCUGAGAGCGCUGAAGAAGGAGGACCUGCGCUCUAUGUACUCCUGCCAGGCCACCAACCACGACCUGGCGCCAACCAGGGAGACUGCUGUGGAAUUGGACAUGAACUUCGGGCCUGAGAGCGUGGAGGUGAGAGGUCUGGAGGGCCCUGUAUCAGCUGGUCGGCCACAGCAGGUGGUGUGUGAGGCCAGGGGAAGUCGACCUCCAGCCACACUCACUUGGUGGCUGGACGGUAGCAUGAAGAAGAGCGUCUCUCACAUGACGUCGCUGGAUGGUCUGGUGUCGACGAGCACUCUGGAGCUUCUCAUAGGACCUGAAGAGGAGGGCUCCAAACUCACCUGUAGAGCAGAGAACCGGGACCUGCCAGCCACCACCAUUGAAGCUUCCCACCAGCUCCAAGUUCUAUAUCCCCCCGAGGUUCACGUGGCCGCAGGACCUUCGCUGGACCUUGACCACAUUAAGGAGGGUGACGACGUGUACUUCGACUGUAUCAUCAAGGCUAGACCAGACGCCCACAAGAUCAGCUGGAGCUUCAACGGCCUGGAGCUGCAGCAGAAAAUAAACGUAGGAGUGAUGGUGGUAGGCAGGUCGCUGGUGCUGCAGAAGGUGACGAGGAAGCAGGCUGGUAGUUACACCUGUUCUGCCACCAACACCCAGGGUCAUAACACCUCGGCCCCCAUACUGUUGUCUGUUAAGUACUCACCUGUGUGUCGCGUGGAGCAGACGGACGUGUAUGGGGUCGGACGACACGAGAAGACGACGGUGACGUGUCGUGUGGAGGCCGACCCUCCCGUCACCGCCUACCGCUGGGCCUUCAACAACACCGGAGAGUUUGUUGACAUUCCAAUAUCACAUUUUGACAUCAAAGGUGAAGGGAUCAGAUCCCAGAGGUCAGACCUGCGGUACUCCCCGGUAAGCGACCUGGAUUACGGCACCUUACUCUGCUGGGCUACAAACGCCGUGGGCACCCAGCGAACACCCUGCACCUUCACCGUGUUCCCAGCAGGCAAACCUGACGUGGUGGGCUCCUGUAUGGUGUUCAACGAGACGGAGGAGACGGUGAGCGUUUCUUGUGAGCCAGGCUAUAGUGGAGGCGUCGACCAGAGUUUCCUUAUCGAGGCUUGGGAUGAUGGUGUGGUGAGAGCGACAGACACGAGCGAUACGCCUUUAUUACAGGUCACAGGUCUGCGCCCCGGGACCCGCUAUACGCUGAAGGUGUUCGCCGUCAACGCCAUGGGCCGAUCCCAACCAUAUAUCUUUACCGCCUUCACUUUAACAGACGUCGCCGAGAGACGCACAGCCCUGGGUACUGGUAAGCCCGGGGAGCCCUUAAGCCCUAUCGUCGGGUCAGUGAUCGGGGGGGUAUCUGCUGUGGUCCUGCUGCUGAUCAUCGCUCUUGUGGUGGCCAAGUGCAAGAGACGUAACUCCCACGAGGCCCACAGCCUGCGGGAGAGCGGCAGCACUGGGGACGUUGGCUACAAGUCCUGCGGCAAGUCCGACACCCGACAAGAUUCAGGCCUGACCGACACCACGGAGACUCACGGCCACUCCGGCCCCGACCUGGUCUCUGCCUCGCAAGAGUCGGCCUUGAUGACCCACUCGCACGACUCCACCACGCCUCUUAUAGGAAACGGACGCAUAGUUCAAGGACAGGGAAAACAGGAGCAGCAGCUGUAUCAACCUCAACAGCAGCAGCAGUCACAGCCACAACAGCAGUCACAGCACUACCACUACCCGGAACAGCAUCAACAGAAGCCACCUCAGCAUGUGGUGAUGUUGGAUGCUAACGUCGGGGCUGGUGACUCUCCUUACUACCGGGAUGACAUGUUGAUUGAAGGAGGUGGUGUUAGUGGUGGUAGUAGUGGUGGUGGUUCCUCCCUGCCCUUCCAGCCUCAGAAAGUCACCUACGUCCCCGUCUACGACUACCAUCAUCACCCACAGCCUCAGGUUGCACUUUGUAUAACGGGACCAUUUGGAAUGCGUGGUCGCGGGGCGCGUUUGUGAAAUUCUGAAGUCUACGACGUCUGCUUACAGUCUUCCACACACCAUAGUAUUAUUUCAUAAUAUCGAAAUUACUGUUCCCGAGGAUAGAAACUGGAAAUACAUUAGAGCUUAAACUGAAUACUACAGAUCAGCCUCCAGUGUGGAAAAGGGGAGAGACAUUUACUCUUAGUAACAGUUGUGUUGUGGCUAACACAAUAUAAGAAGCUUUCAUUAAACAGGCGGGAUUUUGAGAAAUUAUGAAACGCAUCAAAGAUGGAUGUGAACAACACGUAAACUUUCUAAUUUUGUUCAUACAACUCUUAUCGUGACAGACAUUUUAUCAGAAGCCAGUUAAGGGAACAGACAUCGUGACUGUCGUCCUGCUGAAAUACAGAAAAGUUUUGUAUGUGUAGCCAUAGUACAGGACGCAAUCAAUAGUUAUAUGGAUCCAUUUGAUAUACAAGAUAAGGACUAUCUCUACAGUAUUUCAUCAGGAACACGAUCACCUCAUGAUAUAAAAAUAAACGUUAUGAGGGUAGAAGCUGCUGGCAAUGAAUCAAAGGAGUUAUUUAUCAAGAAAAGGCUUGAAAAGAGAGACCACUUCUUUGACCCAAUAAAGAAACCCAAUCUGAAAACCACAGCAGAUAUGAGUGAAAAGGUGAAGGUUAAGACCUGAAGAAUUAAACUAAUAGAGUAUAGGGAACAAGGCAGCAUAUUAUUUCAAUUACUUGUCAUGUCUCAAGCAGAAGGAAAUAAACUUUUUGAGAGAAUUAAUUACUUAUCCUCUCACUCCACUUCCAUAUAGCAUUGGAACAGCUGAUAGUUUCCUCUCCAAAACCGACAAAUGUACAGGAUUUAGUUAUUUAACGAUAUAAUUAGACCAUGUCAUGACACCACCAGAGGAAGCAACUCUAUUUAUGAGAAAGACAGCGGAGAGGGUGUGGUGAAAACUCAUCAUUAAGGGUGAUAAAACAAAACAAAAAGGUCUUCAAAAUGGAAAGUUGUUCCUCUGCAAUGAUGAAAAUAAGAAACAGUUCAUUCAAGUUUUGUAUGCUGUGUGGAGUUCUAAUUCAUUUGCUGUUAAUCUCCAAAAUAGAUAUUUGUAUGUAGUAGGUAGUAGACAGCUACCAAACAGGGAGGUACUACCGCCUGGGAAGAUAUUGGAAGCAUAUUGUGUUGUCUAAUGGUAGACCCUGCUGCCAUA